rnacentral:tRNA from 1 species
GUGGAUUUAGCUCAGCAGCAUAAGUGCCUGCCUUGCAAGCAGGCAGUCCUGAGUUCGAUCCCCAGUACCGAUA